rnacentral:rRNA from 1 species
AUGAACGCUGGCGGCGUGCCUCAUACAUGCCAGUCGAGCGCACAGACGAGGAGCUUGCUCCUCUGACGUUAGCGGCGGACGGGUGAGUAACACGUGGAUAACCUACCUAUAAGACUGGGAUAACUUCGGGAAACCGGAGCUAAUACCGGAUAAUAUAUUGAACCGCAUGGUUCAAUAGUGAAAGACGGUUUUGCUGUCACUUAUAGAUGGAUCCGCGCCGCAUUAGCUAGUUGGUAAGGUAACGGCUUACCAAGGCAACGAUGCGUAGCCGACCUGAGAGGGUGAUCGGCCACACUGGAACUGAGACACGGUCCAGACUCCUGCGGGAGGCAGCAGUAGGGAAUCUUCCGCAAUGGGCGAAAGCCUGACGGAGCAACGCCGCGUGAGUGAUGAAGGUCUUCGGAUCGUAAAACUCUGUUAUUAGGGAGGAACAAAUGUGUAAGUAACUAUGCACGUCUUGACGGUACCUAAUCAGAAAGCCACGGCUAACUACGUG